UACGGAGGGUGCAAGCGUUGUCCGGAUUUACUGGGUGUAAAGGGCGCGUAGGCGGGGGAGUAUGUCGGAAGUGAAAUCGUACGGCUUAACCGUAUCAAUGGCUUCCGAAACUGCUCCUCUUGAGUACGGGAGAGGCAGAUGGAAUUCCUGGUGUAGCGGUGGAAUGCGUAGAUAUCAGGAAGAACACCGGUGGCGAAGGCGGUCUGCUGGUCCGUAACUGACGCUGAGGCGCGAAAGUGUGGGGAGCAAACAGGAUUAGAUACCCCUGUA
rnacentral:rRNA from 1 species